UCUGUUUCCUGGGUCAUGCACUGCCCUGUGUCCAGUGAGCCAGGGGACUUGGACAAAUCUGCUAGGUUAGACUACUCCGCCAGGGGUGGCAGGCACAGAGGCUGGGAUGGGGUGGGCAGCUGUUUCCACCUCCGUCUCCUGGUCAAGUCCAUGCUCAACAAAGAGGAGCUGGUGGCCACAGAGGCUCACUCUGGUCCCUGCUGACCUGUGCCUGAGAGUAGAGCCAGGAGCAACUGUGACGUGCCCAUCCAGGGCUGUCCAGUAGUGACCCAACCCACACUCCUGGCCAUCCAACAGGACAAUGUAGGGACCUCUGCUGACUGGGGCUCCUUGUGUGCUCAGCCGGAAGAGAGCAUGGCCCUGUGUCCAGACAGGUUGGUGCCGUGUGGUCCAGUAGUGUCUCACCAAGGACCAGGGGCCAGGAAUGCCCCCUCCACACCACCACACACGUUGCGGGAGACAGAGGGACAGUGGCUCUGCAGCCAGCAGGGAGCCCUUUGGCAGAGAGUUGCCAGCAGAUGGCAUAGUACCCCAAGUUCGGGGCCAGGUGGGAGCAGCAGAGGAAGAGGACAGCGGCCGGCACAGGCACUGGCGGGCCUUGCCUUCUCUUCCCUUCCCUUCUCCCUCCUUUCCUUCCUCUCCUUUUCCUUCCCUUCCCCUCCCCCAGAGAAUCUGGGUCUCCUCCGCCACUGCUGGCUUUUGAUUUUCUGAUAGCCCAUCCAGCAAGAGCUGCUGGCCCCGGGGUCCCAGCUGGAGUCAGGCUGUCUGGUGGCCACAGCCACAUCUGGAAGCCUUUCAGGCAGCUACCACCACCCUACCCCAUGCCAUAAGCACCUGCUCCUCCCUGGGCCCCUCAUACUGACGUCUGCCAGUCAUCGAGUCAGCCGGUGAUGGACACUCAGCCCAGAGGUGACUCACUGUGAUGAUCUCCUCGUUGUGACCUCUGCCACCUGGCUGUCCCCAAAUUGAAACAAUGAGGAGCAAAUGUUACCCCCCAGUACUGUGUGCGGCCUCCUUGGUGCCCUGUUCUGCCGUCCAGCAGCACCAUGGCAGGCUCUGCAGGGAAGUGCAGUCAGCUUCUCAUCACGCUGACCACAUCCCUGGGACAACGAGCUCCAAAGGGAAACAUCAGUUUGAGCUCACGGUUCCGGAACCUUCCAUCAGCUUGGAGCUGUGGAACACGCUCUAGGUAUCACACCUGCACACGCUUUCCCUAAUCUGAGGUCAUGGAGCUGUCUGUCCCCUCAUGCAUCCUCCUUUUGUGCCUUUUCCCAUUCAUCUUGGUGUAGGGUGAGAGGGAAGGGUGGAAGCUCUUCUAAAUUUAAAGUCUAUUUUUCUGCCAUGACCAGAAGCUUUUCAAUUGUCUUUGGCUUAGCAUUUGCAUAAAUGUUUACCUUCAUUCUUAUCUUUAGCUGUUUCUGAUAAAGAACUUAAACUGAAUCUUGUUCUUUGUAUUUGGCCUGAGAUCACUGUCUUCACUGGCUUCUCUGUAUUGUCCCUGUCAUCAUUUGUGUUCCUACUACCUGCCCUACCCUGGCCUGCGAGCCUCUCCUGCCCUGCCUUCCCUGGUGCUGUCAUCAGGGUGUGCAAGGGGAACGAUUUAAUACAGGGCACGUAAUUUAUAGAAUUAUUUUAUAAUAGUCACACCCAAAGAGUCACACACAAGGCAGUGCAGGAAAUCUGUCCACACACUAAAGACCCCAAAGAAUCCAGCUGAGGGCCUGGGUCCACAGCAGCAUCCGGCACGAGUCCAGCUGGAGGCCUACAGCCCACGAUAAUGACCCAUGCAGGUCUGUUUGAUGUGUCUGCCCUGGGAAGGCCUAAAGGUCAGUGGGAAGGGCUAGAAAAUGUGUGCCAGCAGAGUGAAGGAUCUGGGCCAGCAGCUGAGGGAGCCACACUGGAGCCAGGAAGCGAUGCCCAAAGGACGGACCAGGGCUCCGCCAAGGAGAACUACAGCCAUCCUCAGUGACAACAAGGUGCUGAGCUCACCUGAUAACAGUUGGGUCCCCUUCUUAUGCUGCUGGCGGUGCUCCUCAGGGCUUCCUUUCCCCACCAGAUGCUGACUUCAAGGCCCGCAGUCACUCGAUCUCAGCACAGUGAAGAGGUUGCAUAUUGCUUCUAUUUCCUAGCUGCCAUGGUAGUUUGGAGACGUUCGCUCCCUGGCCGGCUGAAGAAGACCCCGCGUUCACCACACCCCACGCUCCUCCCCAGCACCGCAAAUAAAUUUUUUUAAAAUCUU